rnacentral:lncRNA from 1 species
GUGUAUUGUUUUUUAUCCCUUGUUGGGAGAUGUAUCUGUUAUUUAUGUUUACUGUCUCUUCUCUCGUUGCAGUACUCCUUUUGAGCUGCAUGACAACAAUUAUGUGCUCAAGGCAAUGGAGUUUGGUGAUAGACCACAAAGUGAUACUGUCACACACAAUGUUACAGAUGGAGGGGAAUGUCUUAGCAUGUCAGGCUUGCAUCAGUCUCAGGUUCCUCCUUCAGUUUCAAGCUUGUCAAUUAGGCCUCCCACAUCACC